CCUACGGGCGGCAGCAGUGGGGAAUAUUGGACAAUGGGGGGAACCCUGAUCCAGCCAUGCCGCGUGUGUGAAGAAGGCCCUCGGGUUGUAAAGCACUUUCAGUGAGGAAGAACGCCUGGUGGUUAAUACCCAUCAGGAAAGACAUCACUCACAGAAGAAGCACCGGCUAACUCCGUGCCAGCAGCCGCGGUAAUACGGAGGGUGCGAGCGUUAAUCGGAAUUACUGGGCGUAAAGCGCGCGUAGGUGGUUUGAUAAGCCGGUUGUGAAAGCCCCGGGCUCAACCUGGGAACGGCAUCCGGAACUGUCAAGCUAGAGUGCAGGAGAGGAAGGUAGAAUUCCCGGUGUAGCGGUGAAAUGCGUAGAGAUCGGGAGGAAUACCAGUGGCGAAGGCGGCCUUCUGGACUGACACUGACACUGAGGUGCGAAAGCGUGGGUAGCAAACAGGAUUAGAUACCCUAGUAGUC
rnacentral:rRNA from 1 species